rnacentral:rRNA from 2 species
ACGGGUGAGUAACGCGUGAGAAUCUAGCUUCAGGUCGGGGACAACCACUGGAAACGGUGGCUAAUACCGGAUGUGCCGAGAGGUGAAAGGCUUGCUGCCUGAAGAUGAGCUCGCGUCUGAUUAGCUAGUUGGUGGGGUAAGAGCCUACCAAGGCGACGAUCAGUAGCUGGUCUGAGAGGAUGAUCAGCCACACUGGGACUGAGACACGGCCCAGACUCCUACGGGAGGCAGCAGUGGGGAAUUUUCCGCAAUGGGCGAAAGCCUGACGGAGCAAUACCGCGUGAGGGAGGAAGGCUCUUGGGUUGUAAACCUCUUUUCUCAGGGAAGAAAAAAAUGACGGUACCUGAGGAAUAAGCAUCGGCUAACUCCGUGCCAGCAGCCGCGGUAAUACGGAGGAUGCAAGCGUUAUCCGGAAUGAUUGGGCGUAAAGCGUCCGCAGGUGGCUAUGAAAGUCUGUUGUUAAAGAGCAAGGCUCAACCUUGUAAAGGCAGUGGAAACUACAUGGCUAUAGUGCGUUCGGGGCAGAGGGAUAUUCCUUGGUGU